rfam:Strongylocentrotus purpuratus Contig9879_fixed, whole genome shotgun sequence.
GGGGGUAUAGCUCAGUUGGUAGAGCGUUCGACUUAAAAUCGAAAGGUCUUAGGUUUCGAAUCAUAAUACCUCCA